AUCUGGGAGGCCACAAACCAUGGAAGCUGUACGCAUGGCGUAGUGGACUAGCGGUUAGAGGAGACCCCUCCCUUGCAAGUCGCAGCAACAAUGGGGGCCCAAGGUGAGAUGAAGCUGUAAUCUCACUGGAAGGACUAGAGGUUAGAGGAGACC
rnacentral:lncRNA from 1 species